rnacentral:rRNA from 1 species
AUGAACGCUAGCUACAGGCUUAACACAUGCAAGUCGUGGGGCAGCAUGGGAGAUGCUUGCAUUUCCUGAUGGCGACCGGCGCACGGGUGAGUAACGCGUAUCCAACCUGCCCCUUACUCCGGCACAGCCCGUCGAAAGGCGGAUUAAUGCGGGAUGCAGUCAGAGAGAUGCAUAUAUGUCUGACGAAAGGAAUUGUCCGGUAAGGGAUGGGGAUGCGUCCGAUUAGCUUGACGGCGGGGUAACGGCCCACCGUGGCUACGAUCGGUAGGGGUUCUGAGAGGAAGGUCCCCCACAUUGGAACUGAGACACGGUCCAAACUCCUACGGGAGGCAGCAGUGAGGAAUAUUGGUCAAUGGGCGAGAGCCUGAACCAGCCAAGUAGCGUGCAGGAAGACGGCCCUAUGGGUUGUAAACUGCUUUUGUACGGGAAUAAAGUUGGCCACGUGUGGUCAUUUGCAUGUACCGUACGAAUAAGGACCGGCUAAUUCCGUGCCAGCAGCCGCGGUAAUACGGAAGGUCCGGGCGUUAUCCGGAUUUAUUGGGUUUAAAGGGAGCGUAGGCCGUCUCAAAAGCGUGUUGUGAAAUGUCCCGGCUCAACCGGGGAUGUGCAGCGCGAACUGUGAGACUUGAGUGUGCGGAAGGUAUGCGGAAUUCGUGGUGUAGCGGUGAAAUGCAUAGAUAUCACGAAGAACUCCGAUUGCGAAGGCAGCAUGCCGCAGCACCACUGACGCUGAUGCUCGAAGGUGCGGGUAUCGAACAGGAUUAGAUACCCUGGUAGUCCGCACAGUAAACGAUGGAUGCUCGCUGUGAGUCAGUUGUGAUUUGCGGCCAAGCGAAAGCGUUAAGCAUCCCACCUGGGGAGUACGCCGGCAACGGUGAAACUCAAAGGAAUUGACGGGGGCCCGCACAAGCGGAGGAACAUGUGGUUUAAUUCGAUGAUACGCGAGGAACCUUACCCGGGCUUAAAUUGCAUUUGAAUAACUUGGAAACAGGUUAGCCGUAAGGCAAAUGUGAAGGUGCUGCAUGGUUGUCGUCAGCUCGUGCCGUGAGGUGUCGGCUUAAGUGCCAUAACGAGCGCAACCCCUCUCCGUAGUUGCCAUCGGUUCGGCCGGGCACUCUGCGGACACUGCCUCCGCAAGGAGUGAGGAAGGUGGGGAUGACGUCAAAUCAGCACGGCCCUUACGUCCGGGGCUACACACGUGUUACAAUGGGGCAUACAGAGAGCAGGGUGUACGCAAGUGCGUCCAAAUCAAGAAAGUGCCUCUCAGUUCGGACUGGGGUCUGCAACCCGACCCCACGAAGCUGGAUUCGCUAGUAAUCGCGCAUCAGCCAUGGCGCGGUGAAUACGUUCCCGGGCCUUGUACACACCGCCCGUCAAGCCAUGAAAGCCGGGGGCGCCUGAAGUCCGUGACCGCGAGGGUCGGCCUAGGGUGAAACCGGUGAUUGGGGCU